rnacentral:rRNA from 1 species
GUCCACGCCCUAAACGAUGUCAACUGGUUGUUGGACGGCUUGCUGUUCAGUAACGAAGCUAACGCGUGAAGUUGACCGCCUGGGGAGUACGGCCGCAAGGUUGAAACUCAAAGGAAUUUACGGGGACCCGCACAAGCGGUGGAUGAUGUGGUUUAAUUCUAUGCAACGCGAAAAACCUUACCUACCCUUGACAUGUCAAGAAUCUUGCAGAGAUGUGAGAGUGCUCGAAAGAGAACUUGAACACAGGUGCUGCAUGGCCGUCGU